rnacentral:lncRNA from 10 species
AGAAAAGAUGGCUAUCCCGCCCAAUGUUUGGCCCCCUCCUGCAAAGGCCAAAACAUUCGUUGGACCUGUGCAAGCAUCCUGCCUCAUUCCAUUUGGCUGAAGCUCCUGCUCCACUUCUUGCUGGGCUGUGACCAUUCAGGAUCCCCCACUGUCCACCAGAGUCAGCACCUAAAAUGAGUGGGUCCUACAACCAGUGCUUGAGAGCACGGCCUCGGGACCAGAGCACCUGCCUUUCCAUCCAGUCCCUGCUUCUCAUGAGGAAGGUGUCCUUGGGGAGAGAAAAUCUUUUUCUGUCUGGUGUUUUUCAAAAUUUUGAUGAUGGACUCACAUCAAGGAUGAAGAGCUUUGAUGUCAUUUGAACACCACCACCAUCACCACCACCAGCAUCAACAAACAAACAAGCAAACAAGCGUGAACUCAGGAGCCCUGUGGCCCAGCCUCCAGUCCAUUUCCUCACUGUGAUCUGGCUAAGUCACCUCCCCUCCACCUCAGUUCAGUCACCUACACAACAGGAAUGGUGGCUCCUGGCGUGAAAAGUUCUUAGGAGCAUUCAGCAUGAUGCUGUGUGGAGCACUUGGAAACUGCGUGUGCAUCACCUCAUAUUUCUGGCCACAGGUCAUUCAGACAUCUGCCCUUUGCCCUGGAGGAGAACCACUAGGGACUUGUGCCCAUAAGCACCAAUUCUGGCUUUUACCCUACCCAUCCUUUGCCAUCCCAAACUAUGCCAUCAACAAAUUCUAGAAAUCAAGUUAGAAAUGCUGUUCCCACGAGGGUCUCUGUGGUCUCUCAGAACAACAAUCAGCUGGCCCUGCUGGGCAGAUGUUGCCCAAUCCUAACCCACACUUAGCUAUCAACUUAAUCAUUCUCAACUAAAAACACCUACCUGAACACUUUUAGGGGUUAAGAAUAGUAUAAUCUCACUUAGCCAUUUGCAUUUUUUCUUCUUUUUACAAAAAGAAAUUUAUCUUUUUUUUUUUUUGAGACGGAGUCUUGCUCUGUUGCCCAGGUUGGAGUGCAGUGGCGCAAUCUUGGCUCACUGCAAGCUCCGCCUCCUGGGUUAGCGCCAUUCUCCUGCCUCAGCCUCCCGAGUAGCUGGGACUACAGGUGCCUGCCACCACGCCUGGCUAAUUUUUUUGUAUUUUUAGUAGAGACGGGGUUUCACCGUGUUAGUCAGGAUCGUCUUGAUCUCCUGACAUCGUGAUUCGCCCUCCUCAGCCUCCCAAAGUGCUGGGAUUACAGGCGUGAGCCACUGCGCUCUGCCAAGAAUAGUAUAAUCUCACUUAGCCAUUUGUAUUUUUUCUUCUUUUUACAAAAAGAAAUUUAUCUCAUUAUUAUGUUUAAUCAGUUUCUUGAGGUAUAACUUAAGUGUGCUAAAAUUUGCUCUUUUUAGUGUACAGGUCUAGGAUUUUUGAGAAACACAUAUUCAUAUGUGACCACCCCCAUGAUCAACAUAUGGAACAGUCAUUUGCCACCCAAAAUUACCUUGUGCCCUUUUGUUGUCAGACUCUUCUUUCUCCAGACCCUGGCAACCACUGAUGGAUUUUCUGUCCCUAUAGUUUUGCCUUUUCCAGAAUGUUCUGCAAAUGUAAUCAUUUAGUAUGUAGCCUUUUAAGUCUGAUUUCUUUCACUCUGCAUAAUGCAUUUGAGAUUCACCCACGUUGUUACCUGUUACAAUGGUUUGUUCCUUUUUAUUGCGGAGUAAUAUUCCCUUGCAUGGAUGUACCACAGUUUGGGUAACCAUUCAACAGUCAAAUGAGAUUGAAUUUGUUUCCAUUUUUUGGUGAUUAUAAAUACAGCUAUAAACAUUUGUGAAAGUGUUUUGUAUGUACAUACAUUUUUCUUAGACAUUUGGUUUUAAGAGAUGUAUUUAGGUUUAGUUCCAGAUGAACAAUGAGAGACUGAAAGACUUAAGGGACCCCUGAGAAGAGCAGAGGGAAUAUUCCCUGAGGCAGCCAUCAGUCAGACCUGGCCCUGUCAUUUAAAUGUGGGCUAGUGGUAGCAAGAUGCUGUUAUUAUUUUCACCAAGGACAUUUUUUGAGUAGCAAUUAAAAUGAAGUCUAUUUCUCUGAGCCCCUGGAGAAGAACAUAAGCACAUGAUGGUAACCAUCAAUUUAGUGGGCCUAACGUUAUCUAGGUGGUUAAUGUUUCCAUGGCUUCUGGCAAUUCCCAGUGUAAGUCACCUGUGUAUACUGGGUGGAUGCUUCUUUAAAUUAAAGAUAAGCUGUUCAGCUUAAUAACAGCUAAGGGAGAAUAUAGAGCCCGUGGGUGAACUGUUUACUAACAAGCUUCUUCAGGGUCAUUCAACUUGAAUGAACUCUCUUUUAGGCUAACUUGGUUUGUGGAGGGAAUGCAUGUUUCUUAGUUAAAAUAGUUACAUUGGAAUCCCAACUGUGCACAGGACUUCAAGGGUAAUUAUGAACCCCCACUGCAGAUUUCAGGCUUAGCACCAAUUCUCCUUGCUUUCUACUUGUAUCCAUCAAAAACAGAAGUUACGAUGGAGUUACAGCUAUACUUGUAAGGGUCUCAGUGAACCUCUCCCACUAUUCUGCCUUAUCACCUUUGGGUUCCUGUGUUCUCUACCCCCUCCCCACUGCAUGUUUUCAUUCAGCCAGGAAACAUUUACUGCCUGCCUGGUAUCAAGCCCUUGCAUGAGGGUGGGAGCUCAUAAAGAUGACUACACUAGAGAAUCAUUUGACCUUUCUCAUGUAGACCUCAACAUGAAUGAGUUUCAAUGCUGAUAGGGCAAUCAUUACCUUCAGACAAAUUUUCAGGAACAGCCAAGACUAGAGAAUGUAUGGCUAAAACACAGCACUAUGCAUUUAUAAUAGUCAUGGGUUCUCCUGUUUUAAUUGUACAUGGAGAAUAUUUCAGCUUUAUUUGUAUGGGCUGCUCUUAUGUAAAACAUUAUUUCAAUGAGGAAAUGUGUUUGGGGUUCUAAAUGACUAACUUACAAACACAACUUUGAAUAAAGUCCAUGAAUAAUUUGAGGAUUUAUGUCUAUCAAUGGCUGAUUUACCAGAUUGUUGGCUUUGGGUUUAUUGGUAUCCAUGUUGAGAGGCAUCAGAUCAUCCAAGGUUUAAGUUUCGUCCUGACCACUGACUAGCAUUGAGACCUUAAUGGGAUUAAUAACAAUGAUAAUGAUAGUGACAAGAGCUAGCUUUUCAUGAGCACAGUGGCUAAGAGAGUUAGCAUCAGUUCUAGCUGCUUUCAUUGACAUAGAUGUAAAUGGGGAGGGAAACCAUGACUAGACUCAAAUCUCUGCUCUAACGUCUGAUACCUGAAUAUCACUUUGCAAGCCACGUCAUCUCUCUAAGUUGUAGCUCUUUGUCUGAAAAAUGUGGAUAGUUAAUACAUUAUAAAUAAAUUAUUAUUACAUUAAUACACAGAAAUUCAUAAUGCUAUUGUGGGGAUUACAUGAGAUGAUGGAAGUAUUUAAUCUAGUGUCUUGUAUAUGGCAAAUAAAAAAUAAAUAUUCACUGCUGUUAAU